rnacentral:misc_RNA from 1 species
GAUGAAGAACGUAGCGAAAUGCGAUAAGUAAUGUGAAUUGCAGAAUUCAGUGAAUCAUCGAAUCUUUGAACGCACAUUGCGCCCGCCAGUAUUCUGGCGGGCAUGCCCGUUCGAGCGUCAUUACAACCCUCAGGCCCCCGGGCCUGGCGUUGGGGAUCGGCGGAGCCCCCCGUGGGCACACGCCGUCCCCCAAAUGCAGUGGCGGUCCCGCCGCAGCUUCCAUCGCGUAGUAGCUAACACCUCGCGACUGGAGAGCGGCGCGGCCACGCCGUAAAACACCCAACUCUUCUGAAGUUGACCUCGAAUCAGGUAGGAAUACCCGCUGAACUUAAGCAUAUCAAUAAGCGGAGGA